CACCCAACGUGGGGCGCUCGAACCCACGAUCUUGAAAUUAAGAGUCUGAUGCUCUACAGACUGAGCUUGACUGGC